GUGCCUAACACAUGCAAGUCGAGCGAGAAAGGGGGGGCAACUCCCUGAGUAAAGCGGCGCACGGGUGAGUAACACGUGGGUAAUCUGCCCUGGAGUGGGGAAAAACAUCGGGAAACCGGUGCUAAUACCGCAUACGAUCACGAUGUCUGCGGAUGUUGUGAUGAAAGGAGCAAUUCGCUCCAGGAGGAGCCCGCGGCUGAUUAGCUAGUUGGUGAGGUAACGGCUCACCAAGGCAACGAUCAGUAUCCGGUCUGAGAGGACGGUCGGACACACUGGAACUGAGACACGGUCCAG
rnacentral:rRNA from 1 species